rnacentral:miRNA from 1 species
GGGGUGGAGAGCUGAGGCCCA